CUACGGGUUGCAGCAGUGGGGAAUAUUGGGCAAUGGGCGGAACCCUGAUGCAGCAACGCCGCGUGGAGGAUGACGCAUUUCGGUGUGUAAACUCCUUUUAUAUGUCAAGAAAAUGACGGUAGCAUAUGAAUAAGCACCGGCUAACUCCGUGCCAGCAGCCGCGGUAAUACGGAGGGUGCAAGCGUUACUCGGAAUCACUGGGCGUAAAGGACGCGUAGGCGGGUUGGAAAGCCAGGUGUGAAAUCCUACAGCUUAACUGUAGAACUGCACUUGAAACUUCUAAUCUAGAGUAUGGGAGGGGGAGAUGGAAUUAGUGGUGUAGGGGUAAAAUCCGUAGAUAUCACUAGGAAUACCUAAAGCGAAGGCGAUCUCCUGGAACAUUACUGACGCUAAGGCGUGAAAGCGUGGGGAGCAAACAGGAUUAGAUACCCUCGUAGUC
rnacentral:rRNA from 1 species